rnacentral:rRNA from 1 species
CCUACGGGGGGCAGCAGUGAGGAAUAUUGCACAAUGGAGGAAACUCUGAUGCAGCAACGCCGCGUGGAGGAUGACGCAUUUCGGUGUGUAAACUCCUUUUAAGAGGGAAGAUAAUGACGGUACCUCUUGAAUAAGCACCGGCUAACUCCCUGCCAGCAGCCGCGGUAAUACGGAGGGUGCAAGCGUUACUCGGAAUCACUGGGCGUAAAGGGUGCGUAGGCUGACUUUUAAGUCAGGCGUGAAAUCCAAUGGCUUAACCAUUGAACUGCGCUUGAAACUGGGAGUCUAGAGUUCAGAAGGGGCAGAUGGAAUUAGUGGUGUAGGGGUAAAAUCCGUAGAUAUCACUAGGAAUAUCAAAAGCGAAGGCGAUCUGCUGGGAUGAUACUGACGCUGAGGCACGAAAGCGUGGGGAGCAAACAGGAUUAGAUACCCCUGUAGUC